UGCCUGGUCAAAACUGAACACGAAUCUUCAUGCCUUGAGAUGCAGCAAUGGAAAAUCAAUCUGAGUGUCAUUAAGAGGAUAUCCCCUGAAGAUGGCUGGAAACGGUGGAUUUGUCACCCAACUUUCUUCCCUUCACUGAUCAAUUGGAAUUUCUUCCACGGGCCUGAGCCCCAGUGUUAUCUCACUGUCUGAAUCCAGGCAGGCCUUGCACUGACUUGCCAAGUUUCCAUCACUUUGUCUUCCUGUCAUUGGCUGAUCUGAUCUCUGCACUGAUUAAUUAGUUUCAAAUCCCUUCCUAUUGAUCUAGUAAAAUUGACUUCUUGAAUUCGUGAUGGGAAAUUCUGAGAGUGUUUCAUUUAGACUCUGAGGGGCAUCUUUUUUUAAUGUCCUGUCAGAGACUUCCCCUGGGAUCGAGUCGUUGUCCACUGUGCAGUCUCCUGAACCACACAGAACAAAUGCGGAACUGGCGGAGGUCCUCUCCCUGCUGCUGAGUCUGGGUGCUUUUACAGCAAGCACUUCUGCCUAUUCAUGGGGCAGGUUUCUGUAUCCUCUCACCAAAGGCACCUUGGACCACUGUCUUUCUACCUCUCGAGAUUCUCUGAGCUGCAUCUAAGCAUCACAGCUUAGCCUUUCAGGGUGGGGCCUGCUUGCCAUCCACCCAUGUCAUCUGGGGCCAGAACAGAGCCGCUUCCCCCGCCCCAGUGGUACGCUGCUUGAUUUAUACGUAUCUUCUUUUUCUUUCUACUGGCUGUGAUCCCCCCUCUCCGUGCAGGAAGGGCUGGAGUAAAAGUCCGAAAGUUGAAUAUUCUCUGUUCUGUCACAAAGAGAAAUGAGCAGAAACACAUGGCCUUAAAGGUUAGGAGAGAAUUCCGUUGAGAGCCAGUCCCAACCUGGAUGCAGGACUGAUUCAUGGCACUCAGCAAGAUGCCUUUCGGGGUGUGGUCACUCACUGGCUGGAAUUAAAUCCUAAUACCUGCUUUCCCAGUCAGCAGCCACCACGAUGCAGGGAGCUUGUUUAUUUAACGUGAUCAGACCACUGUGUCCAGCUAAUCUCCACUUGCCUAUCUCCUCUAAGAUAGC
rnacentral:lncRNA from 1 species